AGAUGUCGGGGUCCUUCCAAAUCCCUGCCAACAACAUCAGGAGGAGGAGCAGCAGCUGGCAGCAUGCCAAGGCAAAACAGACAAUGAGAGGGAGAUGAAGCUGUUUGGCUUAGAGCAAAGAGGAUUAAGGAAUCACAAUGAGAGAACAGGAGGAGGUAGUCAUGGCUGGUGUGCAUUCUGACUGGCAGAGCAGAAGGCAAAGCAGUGGAUGGGCAGAGCCAGGAGUAAGAAGCAGAGCAAACCUGUUAAAGCCGUUCCUUGGGAAAGUAAUGGAUAGCACCUGGGACUCCUUUUAUGAAGUAAACAGAGAUUAAAACCAUUCAAGACCCCAUUUCGCCUCAUUGUUUUGCGCCAGGCUGGGAAGUACAUCAUACGCCCACGUACCAGGGAACGCUCGGUGUGAAAUAUCUCCGUGGAGAAAUGGUUAAAGGUGAGGAAAGUGGCAAGGUAUAAAUAAAACAGGCGGUGGUGGAAGGUGUGUGGCAGCUGGGCUUCCAUCCAUCAUCCAAGGGUGUGAGUGUGUGAUUUGUAAGGAAGGACCCACAUCAUGAGAAAUGAUGGGUCCCACCCAGCGAUCUUUGGAAAGCGACAACAAGAAGGGGACUCUUUCACUGCUGGAUUUUUGGAUGCAUUGGCUGAAGAAACCAGACACAUCCUUUAUUGCAGAUGUGAGCAACUGCGGUGGACCAGUUUCUGUCUCAUAACCUUCUGGGGACUGUACAGACUUCCCAAAAUGGCCCCAAAUGGGAGAAAAUACAACCAGAUAUGGCCCGAUGACCACUUCUGGUUUUGGCAAGUGAUGUUAAAUGGUAUUUAUUUAUUUUACUUAUUGCAUUUGUAUUUCCAACUGAUAACAACCUGAAGGUGACUCUAUCACAGGGUUGAAUUGGCAAGGUUCGU